rnacentral:rRNA from 1 species
UACAGAGGGUGCGAGCGUUAAUCGGAGUUACUGGGCGUAAAGCGUGCGUAGACGGUUAUUUAAGUCGGAUGUGAAAGCCCCGGGCUCAACCUGGGAAUUGCAUUCGAGACUGAAUAGCUAGGGUGCGGUAGAGGGAAGCGGAAUUUCCGGUGUAGCGGUGAAAUGCGUAGAUAUCGGAAGGAACAUCAGUGGCGAAAGCGGCUUCCUGGACCAGCACCGACGUUCAGGCACGAAAGCGUGGGGAGCAAACAGG